rnacentral:rRNA from 1 species
UACGUAGGGUGCAAGCGUUGUCCGGAAUUAUUGGGCGUAAAGGGCUCGUAGGCGGUCUGUCGCGUCUGCUGUGAAAUCUCAGGGCUUAACCCUGAGCUUGCAGUGGGUACGGGCAGACUAGAGUGCGGUAGGGGAGACUGGAAUUCCUGGUGUAGCGGUGAAAUGCGCAGAUAUCAGGAGGAACACCGGUGGCGAAGGCGGGUCUCUGGGCCGUAACUGACGCUGAGGAGCGAAAGCAUGGGGAGCGAACAGG